GUUUAAUUAGUAUAACUAGUACAUUUAAUUUCCAAUUAAAAAGAUUUUUUAAAAUUAAACA
rnacentral:tRNA from 1 species